AAAAUGAGAGAACCUUUUCCUCUUUCUUUUUUCAAGAUCUCAGUUCUCUCUCUUUCUGUCAUACCCAUUUCUUAAAUCAAAACAAAUGCAUACUAACACUACACAUCAUGAAAUCAAGAGGAAGAGAAGAACACUCACAGUAGCGUGAUUGGCUGCGGAUCGGAGGAGGCUCCGGUGAGUCGCGGUGGUUUUGUGGUCGGGGUUGCACAUUGCAGUCGGCCGUGCGGUUUCGUCCGACGGUUUCUGAAGACGUCAAGACCGGAAGGAGUUCGUCGAUUUGAGCACUUUUGCGGUAACGUUAAUGGGUUGUGAUUCUAUUCUCGCACAAGCUGUUUUUUUCUCUACUGCUUUUAGUGAAUUUUUUCGGUUUCUUUCUCUCCCCCCUUUCGUUUUCGACGUUAGUCAUCUUAUAGUCAUUUUGGGUGAGUUAUAUUAGGAAAUAUCUUUAAACCUCUUGUUGUUACAAAUCAAUAGGUUUAAUUUGUAGAUCCGAUUUCAUUUCAAUUUCGUUUAUUGCAAUUGAUUUUUUUCUGGAUUUAGAAAUUUGGUUUAUAAUUGCAAUAAAUCUCGAUCGGUUCUUUGUAUCUCGCUUAUGAUAUUAUUUCCUCUUAAUUCGAUCUGUUUUGGUAUUAUCGAUUCAGAUUAUUUUUAAAGUUUUUUUUUUUCUUUUUUUGGAUUUGAAUUUGAUUAAAGAAAAUUAGGGUUUAUGUAAGUUGAAGGGGUGGUGGCCGCUGCUGGGAAUUGGGGGAGAAGAAAGUGUAAACUCUCUAUUUUUACUUAGUUCGAAAUUAAUAAUAAAUUAAUGAAAAUAAAGUAAUAGUAAUAAAAAUAGAUUAUUUAACAAUCUACAAUAUAAGAAAAGAACAUGCUCUGGAAAAUACUAAAAUAACCCUCUGCUUUUGUAUGCUUCCACGUGGACACCUUAUCUCAAUUGCAGUAUUUGGUCUUCCUUUUUUUCCCUUUCUACUCAUGAUCACGUUUCCAUUAUCCAUGCUUUGUCAAAUGUCUUUUUAAUAUUUUCCUUGGAAAGACAAAUAUAAGAAAAGAACUUUUCCUUGGAAACACAAAUAUUCUUUUUUAAAUCUUUUCUUCACCUUUCUUCUUCUUCCUUCUUCCUCUCUUUAGUUUUGAAAUCAAAUAGAAAUAAGCAAUAAUCUGCAUCAUCAGAUCUGAUUUUUUUAAUUCUUUUAUGCAGCAACAAAAUAUGGAAAGGACUCUGAGAUGGUGGUUCCUCACUCUGAUGAGGUUGUUGUUGAAGGCCAUCUAACCUAUGGAAGGAACAAGGCGUGGUCCUCCAAUCAGUUCUGAAGCAGAAAGACAAAGAGCGUUUUACUACUUGAAUCAUUUGAUUGUGUUUUUUCUUUCUUUCCAAAUUUAAAAGUUAUUUGUUGUAUCAUAGAUUGAAACUUAUAUUUUUGUUUGUCUUAUAUUUUUUGACUCAGAUCUAAAAAAAUAGCUGAUUACAUUUUGGAUCUGGAUUCUAUUUCCAUCUCCUUAGGGAUUGAAAUAUGUGUGCAAGUUUACAUUAAGUCAAAAAUGUCACACCAAAAUGACAAUGAUAAUGAUGUUUAUGGAGUGGUAGGAAAUAUCAACAUCAAUGGUAAUAUCAAAGGAAAUCUCUUAUCUAUUUCUUCCAUAAAUUAUAAAUCUUCUUUUUCUAUUUUUGAUAUUCAUGUCACUUUUUUUUAAAAUUGUUUUAAUAUCUUUUUCAUUUGUUUUGGAUUUUCAGGUUACUCAUAAGAAAACGAAAAAGGUUAAAUAACAUAGACAAUUUCUUAAGUCUUAACAUCAUUUUUAUUUUUAUUAGUUGUUCUCUCUUCUUUAUUGGAAUUUGUUAUAUAUUUUUAAAAUUUUAUAGUUAUGAAGUAAUGUGACUAUUUUUGUAAUUUUUUUAAAUAUUGAGAUUGAAAAAAAUCUAUUAUUUAUUUUAAUUUAAUGUCCUUUAUUAUUAUUAUUAUUAUUAUUAUUAUUAUUAUUAUUAACAUUAUUGUCAUCAUCAUUAUAAUAAAACAAAUCAAAAUUAGUAGUUAUUAAAAUGUGUUUUAAUAAAAAAAAUAUGAAUUUUACUAAAUGUCAUCGUAUCAUGUUAAAAUAGUGUAUAUAUAUAUAUAUAUAUAAUCGUUUAUUAUUGCAUUGUAUCCUCUUAACUUAAAAUAUUAUAUAUAUAUAUAUAUAUAUAUAUAUAUAUAUAUAUAUAUAUAUAUAUAUAUAUAUAUAUAUUAAAUAGUUUAUCAUAUCAUACUAUAAAAACUAUUUAAUAUAAUAUAUAUGGUAGAUUAUAGAAUAGGUCAUAAUAUACUGUGUUGUAUCGUGCAAGUCAAAUCUACGGUGUCUCUUGCAAGUCCAUACUAUCUCUUGCCUAUGUAUUUUUUUCGUUCAUUUUCAUUAUAACAAUAGUCUUUUAACAAUAAUCUUUUUAUAGUGUGAUGGUACAUUAAGAGCUACAAUGGAAAAUCAUAUGCUUAAAGAAUAAUUGUUUGUAGAUUGUGUCAUUGGCUAUAAAUGGAUGAAAUUGAAGACUUAUCAAUUUUUUAUUGAUAUUUUUUUUGGAAAUAUGGGAUUUUCCAAUUAAUAUUUUUUUUUGGAAAUAUGGAAUUUUCCAAUUAAAAAUUUUGCUACCAUAAACAUUUUAGAGUUUAUUUGUUAAGUUAAGAUUUUUAUUGAUAUUAAUAUUUUUAAUGAUGUUGAUCAAUAAUAAUAAAGCACAUAAAUAAUAAUAAUAAUAAUACAAUCUUUUUAAAUUAGUUUCAAAUUUAUCCAAUUAUUUUCUAUCUUAGAAAAUUAUUUUGUCAUUAUAAAGAAUCUUAAUUGGUUAUCGUGUGGACCGUUGAUAUGUCAGUAAAUUGGUUUUGAAAUUCAAAUAAAAUAUAAAUAUAUUUUAUUUAAUUGUAAAACAGGAAAAAAAAUAGUCAAAGAUAAAUAUAUAGGUUAAUUAAAGAUAAAUAUUUAAAUGAAAGACAUUUUUAAAAUAAAAAUAAAAUUGUAUCAAAUUUUUAAUUUUUAAAGAAAGACAUCAAUAAAAUUACUGUAUUUUAAAUUAAAAAUAAUUUCAGAAUAAAAAUAUUAUAUAGAUGAAUAAUAUUUGUAAAUAUUUUUAACCAAAUAACCUUAUAUAUCUAGACCAGAACAUCUGCAAAAAAGAAUAAUAUUUUAUAUAUAUUUGAACAAGGAACCUACUUCAAUAAAACAUUGCACCAAUGAAUCAAGAAUACAGUAAAUUUAAACUUAUGCUAUAAUGGUGAACAACUGUGGAAAACAGUUACAUUAAACUAGAAUAUAUUAGAAAUCUUGUGCAGUGUGAUAGGCAAACACGAUACUUUUAGUAGACAGAGCUGGCUCGAGACCGUACGUGUGAGACAUCUUGUCCUAAAUCAACAAUGGAGUUGUUGGACAAAUACUAUAAUGCAGCAGGAGUUGCAUAAAGUUAAUUAGUAGUCUUGAUUAAAAACAUUGGUUUUGGCAACCACAUUGAUUUAACUAAACCGAUUAUUGUGUAGAAUAUUAAUACAUUUAAACAAAUAUAAAAUCGAAUUAUUUAAGUAAUUUAGUGUUUUAUUUAACUUUUUUCAACUUCUUUUAUUUUUACCUAUUUCCUAUUAUUUCUGGUCAUAUAAUUUUAUUGAUGUCUUUCUUUUAAAAAUUAAAAAUUCGAUACAAUUUUUUUUUUAAAUAUCUUUUAGAUAUAAUAACUACUUUGGGAAAAAUAUUUUGAUUUUCUUAUUUAGAUCAUAAGAUAUGGCAUUCUUACUAUAUUUUUAGGUUGUUAGUGUUGUUGUUUAUAAUCUUAAAUGAAUGAAUCAUAAAAGCAUAAAAGGUAAUCUACAAUAUAAGAAAAUUGAAUGGUAUGGAAAAAACCAAAAUGUCCUGCUUAUCAUAUAAGCUUCCACUUGGAUGGACUUAAAAGCUUUCUUUCCAUUUUCUAAAAUUUUUCUUUCUUCAUUUAAUUGUUGGAAAUUCCACUGUUUUUUCCAUGCACAUCUUUUGAGAUUGAUAUCAAUUAAUGCACUAAGACCUAUUUCCUUACUUUACUUACUACUUUUUUCAAACUGCUAUGAAAAUAAUAUAUUAUU